rnacentral:rRNA from 1 species
UACGUAGGUGGCAAGCGUUGUCCGGAAUUACUGGGUGUAAAGGGUGCGUAGGCGGGAGCGCAAGUUAGGUGUGAAAUGCCGUGGCUUAACCACGGAGCUGCAUCUAAAACUGUGUUUCUUGAGUGAAGUAGAGGCAGGCGGAAUUCCGAGUGUAGCGGUGGAAUGCGUAGAUAUUCGGAGGAACACCAGUGGCGAAGGCGGCCUGCUGGGCUUUAACUGACGCUGAGGCACGAAAGCAUGGGGAGCAAACAGG